CCUACGGGUGGCAGCAGUGAGGAAUAUUGGUCAAUGGGCUUACGCCUGAACCAGCCAAGUCGCGUGAGGGAAGACUGCCCUAUGGGUUGUAAACCUCUUUUGUCAGGGAGCAAAUGGCGCUACGUGUAGCGUUAUCGAGAGUCCCUGAAGAAAAAGCAUCGGCUAACUCCGUGCCAGCAGCCGCGGUAAUACGGAGGAUGCGAGCGUUAUCCGGAUUUAUUGGGUUUAAAGGGUGCGUAGGCGGAAUGCCAAGUCAGCGGUAAAAUCGCGGGGCUCAACCUCGCUCCGCCGUUGAAACUGGCGGUCUUGAGUGGGCGAGAAGUAUGCGGAAUGCGUGGUGUAGCGGUGAAAUGCAUAGAUAUCACGCAGAACUCCGAUUGCGAAGGCAGCAUACCGGCGCCCAACUGACGCUGAAGCACGAAAGCGUGGGUAUCGAACAGGAUUAGAUACCCGAGUAGUC
rnacentral:rRNA from 1 species